AGCAGCCAUCAUUUAAAGAGUGCGUAAUAGCUCACUAGUCGAGUGACACUGCGCCGAAAAUGUACCGGGGCUAAACAUAUUACCGAAGCUGUGGAUUGUCCUUUGGACAAUGGUAGGAGAGCGUUCUAAGGGCGUUGAAGCAUGAUCGCAAGGACAUGUGGAGCGCUUAGAAGUGAGAAUGCCGGUGUGAGUAGCGAAAGACGGGUGAGAAUCCCGUCCACCGAUUGACUAAGGUUUCCAGAGGAAGGCUCGUCCGCUCUGGGUUAGUCGGGUCCUAAGCUGAGGCCGACAGGCGUAGGCGAUGGAUAACAGGUUGAUAUUCCUGUACCACCUAGUAUCGUUUUAAUCGAUGGGGGGACGCAGUAGGAUAGGCGAAGCGUACGAUUGGAUUGUACGUCUAAGCAGUGAGACUGAGUGUUAGGCAAAUCCGGCACUCAUAAGGUCAAGCUGUGAUGGGGAGAGGAAAUUGUUUCCUCGAGUCGUUGAUUUCACACUGCCAAGAAAAGCCUCUAGAUAGAUAACAGGUGCCCGUACCGCAAACCGACACAGGUAGUCAAGAUGAGAAUUCUAAGGUGAGCGAGCGAACUCUCGUUAAGGAACUCGGCAAAAUGACCCCGUAACUUCGGGAGAAGGGGUGCUCUUUAGGGUGCAAGCCCAGAAGAGCCGCAGUGAAUAGGCCCAAGCGACUGUUUAUCAAAAACACAGGUCUCUGCUAAACCGUAAGGUGAUGUAUAGGGGCUGACGCCUGCCCGGUGCUGGAAGGUUAAGAGGAGUGGUUAGCUUCUGCGAAGCUACGAAUCGAAGCCCCAGUAAACGGCGGCCGUAACUAUAACGGUCCUAAGGUAGCGAAAUUCCUUGUCGGGUAAGUUCCGACCCGCACGAAAGGCGUAACGAUUUGGGCACUGUCUCAACGAGAGACUCGGUGAAAUCAUAGUACCUGUGAAGAUGCAGGUUACCCGCGACAGGACGGAAAGACCCCGUGGAGCUUUACUGUAGCCUGAUAUUGAAAUUCGGCACAGCUUGUACAGGAUAGGUAGGAGCCAUUGAAACGUGAGCGCUAGCUUACGUGGAGGCGCUGGUGGGAUACUACCCUAGCUGUGUUGGCUUUCUAACCCGCACCACUUAUCGUGGUGGGAGACAGUGUCAGGCGGGCAGUUUGACUGGGGCGGUCGCCUCCUAAAAGGUAACGGAGGCGCUCAAAGGUUCCCUCAGAAUGGUUGGAAAUCAUUCAUAGAGUGUAAAGGCAUAAGGGAGCUUGACUGCGAGACCUACAAGUCGAGCAGGGUCGAAAGACGGACUUAGUGAUCCGGUGGUUCCGCAUGGAAGGGCCAUCGCUCAACGGAUAAAAGCUACCCCGGGGAUAACAGGCUUAUCUCCCCCAAGAGUUCACAUCGACGGGGAGGUUUGGCACCUCGAUGUCGGCUCAUCGCAUCCUGGGGCUGUAGUCGGUCCCAAGGGUUGGGCUGUUCGCCCAUUAAAGCGGUACGCGAGCUGGGUUCAGAACGUCGUGAGACAGUUCGGUCCCUAUCCGUCGUGGGCGUAGGAAAUUUGAGAGGAGCUGUCCUUAGUACGAGAGGACCGGGAUGGACAUACCUCUGGUGUACCAGUUGUCGUGCCAACGGCAUAGCUGGGUAGCUAUGUAUGGACGGGAUAAGUGCUGAAAGCAUCUAAGCAUGAAGCCCCCCUCAAGAUGAGAUUUCCCAACUUCGGUUAUAAGAUCCCUCAAAGAUGAUGAGGUUAAUAGGUUCGAGGUGGAAGCGUGGC
rnacentral:rRNA from 1 species